AACGAACGCUGGCGGCAUGCCUAACACAUGCAAGUCGAACGAGACCUUCGGGUCUAGUGGCGCACGGGUGCGUAACGCGUGGGAACCUGCCCUUAGGUUCGGAAUAACUCCCCGAAAGGGGUGCUACUACCGGAUAAUGUCUUCGGACCAAAGAUUUAUCGCCUUUGGAUGGGCCCGCGUUGGAUUAGCUAGUUGGUAGGGUAAAAGCCUACCAAGGCGACGAUCCAUAGCUGGUCUGAGAGGAUGAUCAGCCACACUUGGACUGAGACACGGCCCAGACUCCUACGGGAGGCAGCAGUGGGGAAUAUUGGACAAUCGGCGAAAGCCUGAUCCAGCAAUGCCGCGUGAGUGAUGAAGGCCUGAGGGUUGUAAAGCUCUUUUACCCGGGAUGAUAAUGACAGUACCGGAAGAAUAAGCUCCGGCUAACUCCGUG
rnacentral:rRNA from 1 species